AUGUCUGACCCUGUUCUCGGCGUGGGGACAUUAGAACGACCAUCGACCCGACCCCUGCCGUCGUGGAACCUCCCUGCCGGGCAGAGGAACCCGAAGGAAGUGGAAGCACCCCACCAGCCUCGAAGGCUUUUCGUCUUCACUUUGUUCCCAGUGCUGAAGGCCCCCCUGAAAGUGGCUGUGGUCACACCGAGUCUCAACACCAGCCUAUUCGGGAGACUCCAAGGCAGCCCACCCAAGAAUCACUCAAAACGCCAGAUUUCACUGGAGCGUGUUGGCCGCGGACCUCCUGUCAGUGGCUUUAAAGCAGCGCAGGCAGGAGCCCGAGGGACCCCCUUCGCCCAGAGGACACCAAAGAGACUCCGCUCUGCCGGGAGGGCCGCGGGGCGGCGCAGAGCCAACGGGCUGGCGGAGGAAGAGCGCGCACCGGACGUCUGCCCUGGGGCCCCUCGUCCUGGAGGCGGACGCCCUGCGUUCGGUGCGAUUCCCGAGGCCAGGCUGCUGAGGGCGCUAGGGUCCCGUCCUCGGGGGCGGCGCGGCGGUCCUUUGCCGGGGCUGCUUGGGGGGCGCGGGCUCCUCGCUCGCAGGGGCGCGGCUGUUUCCAGGGCCUUGGGCGGUUCGAGCGAAGUCGGCGGGGCGGAUAGUUGUGGCCGAAAUGCCACUUUUGGGGGUUAG
rnacentral:lncRNA from 1 species